CGUACUCCUGAAGACCACACGAACACGAUGGUACCAAUUUCAGCUUGUAGGAAGCUUGGUGAGGUCCUAAGGAAGCUCGGAGUGCUUCGUUUGAAGGAUUUGGACGUCGGGAUCACGAACUGUAAGUUUGGCCGAAUUUUCGUAUUUUUGGAAAAGUUUGAUUCCGUUGUUUUUAGGCCCUAAAACUAGUCCAACGUGGUAGAUUAUGUUUAGGGCUUCAUUUUGGUAUAAAUUACGUGAAAAAUGGACAUAGGAACACGGAGAAUGACAAGUUCAAAGUUUGGCCGGAGCUGUCGGGGCUUUUUCCGGCGAAACCACGGCGAGUUAGGGGUCGAGACAGAAAUUCCGGCAAAACACCAUCUCCGGCGAAACCAGUCCGGCGACGCGAGGAAGAAGAC